rnacentral:rRNA from 1 species
UACGUAGGGGGCAAGCGUUGUCCGGAAUCAUUGGGCGUAAAGAGCGUGUAGGCGGCCAGAAAAGUCCGCUGUGAAAACUCGAGGCUCAACUUCGAGCUGUCGGUGGAAACUUUCUGGCUAGAGUCCGGAAGAGGAGAGUGGAAUUCCUGGUGUAGCGGUGAAAUGCGUAGAUAUCAGGAGGAACACCGGUGGCGAAGGCGGCUCUCUGGACGGUGACUGACGCUGAGACGCGAAAGCGUGGGGAGCAAACAGG